rnacentral:rRNA from 1 species
UUUAAUUGGAGAGUUUGAUCCUGGCUCAGAACGAACGCUGGCGGCGUGCCUAACACAUGCAAGUCGAACGAGAAACCCCGGGCUUGCUCGGGGGAGUAAAGUGGCGAACGGGUGAGUAACGCGUGGGUA